CCGCGCCCCCCCGGCCGCGCCGCCAUUACAGCGCCGGCCGCGCUCCGCCGGCCGUGAGGCGAGAGAAAGCGGCGGGGUUUCUGAGCGAGAUAAAAAUCUUAUUAUGCAACGCACAUUUUUAAUAGAUUAGUGCCGAGUCCAGGGGUGAGUCUCCAGAGCCAUCUGAAAACGUUCUGCUUGUGCUCAAUCUCAAGAAACUCGAUACAGUCCCAAGGGUAAAAAAACCACAUUUAAAGGAUGGUCUCGGUUAUAUUUAGCUGAGCAGCAGCACAGGCUGAGACGAGCAGAAACACAAGGAAGAACAAAGUGGAAACGCUCGACAGUUGGUAACAAAAACCUGCGAGUAUCUGAGGUGGAUUUUUUUUUAAUUUUCCUUUCCCUAAUUCACAUUUCGCUGUGCACAGAGAACAUCAAAGCAGCACAUGGGUUUAUGUGAACAAAAGGAGCGUGCUCAACCCUGUCGUUCUAACCAGAAGACAUGAAAAAUAUGCAGCUCAUCUCUACAGCGCAAAAUUUAUGUGGAAUUACUGAACCUCGACAAAAGCCAUCUCACAAAUUCUUCAAUAAAGACUAAACAGCUACAUUUAACCUCAUUUUUUCCCGAUUUUUCAUCUGUUCUCAGCACAGGCAUCUCCAAACCCUCUCAAAAUCCCAAAUCCCAGCUAAAUCAGUGAUUCAUCACUUCUGGCAGCAACGAAGCGGGAAGGAGGAGAUGAAGACAAUGCUCUUGAGAACCACAAGCAAGGAAGCCCAAACUUCUCCUUCACCACCUUUCUGCUUGUUUCUCACAGCUCACACAGGACAGUGCCAGGCACAAACAUUCCCACUGGUG